CAGGGAGCUUGCUCCGCUGACGAGUGGCGAACGGGUGAGUAAUGUAUCGGAACGUACCUUUCAGUGGGGGAUAACGUAGCGAAAGUUACGCUAAUACCGCAUAUUCUGUGAGCAGGAAAGCAGGGGAUCGCAAGACCUUGGGCUGAUUGAGCGGCCGAUAUCAGAUUAGCUAGUUGGUGAGGUAAAGGCUCACCAAGGCGACGAUCUGUAGCGGGUCUGAGAGGAUGAUCCGCCACACUGGAACUGAGACACGGUCCAGACUCCUACGGGAGGCAGCAGUGGGGAAUUUUGGACAAUGGGGGCAACCCUGAUCCAGCCAUGCCGCGUGAGUGAAGAAGGCCUUCGGGUUGUAAAGCUCUUUCGGCCGGGAAGAAAUCGUAUGGGCUAAUACCCUGUGCGGAUGACGGUACCGGCAUAAGAAGCACCGGCUAACUACGUGCCAGCAGCCGCGGUAAUACGUAGGGUGCGAGCGUUAAUCGGAAUUACUGGGCGUAAAGCGUGCGCAGGCGGUUAUAUAAGACAGAUGUGAAAUCCCCGGGCUCAACCUGGGACCUGCAUUUGUGACUGUAUAGCUAGAGUACGGUAGAGGGGGAUGGAAUUCCGCGUGUAGCAGUGAAAUGCGUAGA
rnacentral:rRNA from 1 species